CUUUGGCGGAGUUUCCUGAUACGCUGUAGCAGGCGUCAGUGCAUUUGGAAGCACGAGUUUGCUAGUUGUUUGUAGCUUUCUGGAGCAGGACGUCAUAUGAUUUAAUUUGGAGAGGAUUUAGCAGAUAGUAGGGCUACAGCAGUGUGAUACCAGCUGAGUCAGUCACUCCGGUUUGUUUCAUAACUGAGCCAUGAUCUUCAGCCGUGUGGGUCCACAGCGGUUCCUAUAGUCUUCCCAGCGUCGUAUUGUAGGUGUCCUUGGUAAAGAUCUAAAUGGAUAAAACGUCCCGAAAAAUUUCGAACCAGGACAUAAACCCCUGUUUAGAAGAAAGUGAUGCCUCUCACAAGUGUUUGGACACCUACAACUAUGAUAGGAGCAAGUGCUCAGCUUACUUCCAGAGAUAUAAGAACUGCAGAAAAUAUUGGUGUUGUUGCUGUUCAUUGACCUUCUGAUGGAUGUUUAUGUUGAUCUCUGCCUUUCAUUUGGACUUCCUGUGUGGCUAGCAUCUCUUCUGCACACUGCUGAACGCCUCAGAAGUGACCGUGCUCGACGCAAGAAGGUCUACCGUCUCCUGCAGAGGAAACUAAUCUUUCAUGGUGUUGGUGUUAACCAGGAGAACCACUUCCAGCCCACCUAUGUUUACCCAGAAGAAGUGAAAGUUUUAAUGCGCUCUGUUUUUCCAAAAGACAUCUGUGACUACCCCAACCCUAAGCACAAUCAUGUGGUGCACAUUACUAUGGAGGAGCUCCACAGCAUACAAAACAACUGACAACGUUUUUGCCUUUUCUCCUAAUAUUAUGUUUCUCUGAAUGAGAAGAAAUGCUUGUUUCUAUGGGAGAAGCACUGUUAGUUACUUCAAGGUUUUCUUCUUGGCAUGUUUUGAUGUAUUUAACCGUACUACUUUUUAGUUAAACAUAAAGAACAUAACAUAAUCAGUAUCACUAAGUGCUUUAUGUUUCACCUUUAGCUAUUUCUUUUUCUAAAAGAUUCCUUCUAUUUGUAUUUGAAAUCAAUAAAAAGAUUUCCCUGUAAAAAUCAUCUUACAGUUUUGAAACAUUAGCAUAUAUUCACCUACAUGAGGAGCAGCUUAAUAUAGGUAUAUAGUUGAACCAGGCUUUCGUAGCUCCUGGUCGUGCACCUGUGAAUUUUUAUAACUCGCCACCGUGGCAUUUAUACAUACUGUCUAUAAGGACUCGGCUGCAACGUACACGUUAACUAUGAAUGCCGUACUGCUGUCUUGGUUGGCAAGCGCUCAACAUUAUUGAUAACUUUCAAAAGCGUGACUAGAACUCAGUCUUUAUAGCCGUGUCCCCGGGUUUCUUGCAUGCGACUACAAACAGUGAAAAAAACCUUGGCUUCUUAUAGGUCACUGCUUUAAAAAGUACAUGUAGUGCACAGAGACCUGAUAGAACAGAACACCUUGAUGUUGAGUACUGGCAUCAAUGGGACUUUCCUCUACUUCCAUUUGUGAAUGGGGGAAAUCAUCUUACAGGGAAAUUAAUAUGAGUUAGUUGAACUCAUAUUGGUUCAACUAAUAUGAACCAAUAUGAGCUUGGUUCAUAUCAGUUGAACCAAGAUCUUCUAAUAUGAGCUUCUCAUAUUAGUUGCUGUUUGUGGGGAAGGUUUCAAGAUGUCAAGGAAUGGCACCACCCAAAGGAUGUGUCCGGUUCUUAGCACUUUGCUACAGAAUCAUGUUACCGUCAGUGCAUCACUUACUUAUUAAUGCUUGCAGGAGCGCCUGCAGCUGUAUGGCAGUACAAACUAAGAUUUUCCUCAGAGUAAAAAAAGUAUGACAGUUAUUGUUAUGAUGCUCUUCCUCAGCAUCAUGCAAGACUGGGAGAGUUAAGCAGUUAAAUCUAGUCAAAACGUUUGUCAUAAAGAAUUGAAAUGAAGCAAAUGUCGCUUCAAGUCAUCCUCUGGAAAUAUCAGAUAAAACACCUGAGCCUUGGAAUCAGCGUCCUCCUCCUCACAUGGGUAGGCUUUGCUUUCCUGUCUUUAUUAUUUAGUAUAAUUUGUUAAAACUUGUAAAAAAAAGAAAAAGAAAACAAGUUAUGUAGGCAUAGCAUAAGUUUGUGUGUGUGCUGCAUUGUGUGUGACAGUUGGGCCUUGUGUGGAUCAGAUCUGAAAUGCAUUGCGUUUGUGUGACAUAUCAGUGUGGGUUAGGUUUGUGCGGUUUAUGCAUGUUGAGGAUGUGGCUGUGUUUGUGUGGAUCAGGUGCAAUGAUAGUUUUGUGCGUACCCUCCACUAAUAUCCUGCAGGCGCCCCUGAACGCUAGUAGAUAUAAGUCCUCUUGAACUGACUGAUUACAAAUUCUGUACAUUUUUCUCAGGAGCGAAUUUUGAGCAAUAUGCUCUGAAAAUAGAAAAUGCACAAACUAAGUGUUUUGAAAAAGUUUAGUUAAAAUCUAAGAUAUUUUUUCUUUUCUAGUGGUAUGGCACUACUUUUGUUGGAGAGAACAGGAAGUUUAAAGUUUGAGAUCCACUAGAAUGUCCACCUGUGUUCCUGGAAAAGUCAGAUAUUUAAUAAAAACCUGUUAUAAAUC